rnacentral:rRNA from 1 species
UACGUAGGGGGCAAGCGUUGUCCGGAAUCAUUGGGCGUAAAGCGCGUGUAGGCGGCCCAGUAAGUCCGCUGUGAAAGCCCAGGGCUCAACCCUGGGAUGCCGGUGGAUACUGUUGGGCUCGAGUCCGGAAGAGGCGAGUGGAAUUCCCGGCGUAGCGGUGAAAUGCGCAGAUAUCGGGAGGAACACCAAUGGCGAAGGCAGCUCGCUGGGACGUGACUGACGCUGAGACGCGAAAGCGUGGGGAGCAAACAGGG